UACGUAGGGUCCAAGCGUUAAUCGGAAUUACUGGGCGUAAAGCGUGCGCAGGCGGUUCGUUAAGUCAGCUGUGAAAGCCCCGGGCUCAACCUGGGAAUGGCGGUUGAAACCGGCGAACUUGAAUCUGGCAGAGGGGGGUGGAAUUCCACGUGUAGCAGUGAAAUGCGUAGAGAUGUGGAGGAACACCGAUGGCGAAGGCAGCCCCCUGGGCUGAGAUUGACGCUCAGGCACGAAAGCGUGGGGAGCAAACAGG
rnacentral:rRNA from 1 species